UGGGGAAUAUUGCACAAUGGGCGCAAGCCUGAUGCAGCCAUGCCGCGUGUAUGAAGAAGGCCUUCGGGUUGUAAAGUACUUUCAGUCGGGAGGAAGGUGUCAAGGUUAAUAACCUUGGCAAUUGACGUUACCGACAGAAGAAGCACCGGCUAACUCCGUGCCAGCAGCCGCGGUAAUACGGAGGGUGCAAGCGUUAAUCGGAAUUACUGGGCGUAAAGCGCACGCAGGCGGUCUGUCAAGUCGGAUGUGAAAUCCCCGGGCUCAACCUGGGAACUGCAUCUGAUACUGGCAAGCUUGAGUCUCGUAGAGGGGGGUAGAAUUCCAGGUGUAGCGGUGAAAUGCGUAGAGAUCUGGAGGAAUACCGGUGGCGAAGGCGGCCCCCUGGACGAAGACUGACGCUCAGGUGCGAAAGCGUGGGGAGCAAACAGG
rnacentral:rRNA from 1 species